rnacentral:tRNA from 4 species
GCCGCCAUGGUGAAAUCGGUAGACACGCUGCUCUUA